rnacentral:rRNA from 1 species
GGCUAACCUGCCCUUGGGACCAGAACACCCCCGGGAAACUGGGGCUAAUUCUCGAUAGGUGAAGAACUCUGGAAUGAGUCUUCGCUUAAAAGAGGCUGGGGGUAUGCUCUCCAGUUUCGCCCAAGGAUGGGGCCGCGGCCGAUCAGGUUGUUGGUGAGGUAAUGGCUCACCAAGCCUUUUACCGGUGCGGGCCGUGGGAGCGGGAGCCCGGAGAUGGGCACUGAGACAAGGGCCCAGGCCCUACGGGGCGCAGCAGUCGCGAAAACUUUGCAAUAAGCGAAAGCUUGACAGGGCUAUCCCGAGUGCCAUCCGCUGAGGAAGGCUUUUACCCAGUCUAGAACGCUGGGGGAAUAAGGAGAGGGCAAGUCUGGUGUCAGCCGCCGCGGUAAUACCAGCUCUCCGAGUGGUGUGGAUGUUUAUUGGGCCUAAAGCAUCCGUAGCUGGCUAGGUUAGUCCCCUGUUAAAUCCACCGAAUUAAUCGUUGGAUUGCGGGGGAUACUACUUGGCUAGGGGACGAGAGAGGCAGACGGUAUUUCCGGGGUAGGGGUGAAAUCCUAUAAUCCCGGGAAGACCACCAGUGGCGAAGGCUGUCUGCUAGAACGCGCCCGACGGUGAGGGAUGAAAGCUGGGGGAGCGAACCGGAUUAGAUACCCGGGUAGUCCCAGCUGUAAACGAUGCAGACUAGGUGUUUGGACGGCCACGUGCCGUUCUAGUGCCGCAGGGAAGCUGUUAAGUCUGCCGCCUGGGGAGUACGAUCGCAAGAUUGAAACUUAA